UCGAACUCCGUCUCUGUGACUUGAGGCUGAGUGGCCUGAUCUCCGAUUCAGAAGCUUUCUAAGUGCGGUGGAGUCAUGUCUGCAACGCCCGUGACGACAUCCCAUACGGUCCUUCAUGCUUCAGACAAUAUGAGGAUCUUGAUUUCAGGAGGAGGUGGAGCUGGAUAGAUUCAUUGGCCCUCACCUGAUGGAAAGUGAAAAGAAUGAGAUUUGGAUGCAGCUGAGCUGACUUAGUCCUAUGCAUCAUUAUUUAUCCAUCACUGGAUCAGUUACUGAUGUUUCCCCUGCUGAUUGUUGCUGAUAACUAUUUUUUACCGGUUCAACGGAUAACCUUAAGAAGUGAGACUUGAGCUUAUCCGACCGUCACGAUGUCACAGAGCCUCUUUUGAUCACAUUUACCAUCUUGUUUGUCCUGCUUCUCCCAUCUUCUCUACACGUACCAAUCCCGUGAAGACACUCUCAAGACCAAAUGUGAUGGGCACACUCAACAUGCUAGGUCUUCUCUACAGGUACAAUCCCUUUGCAUUUUAGAUGUUCUGCGUCCAACUGUUGUGGAUACUUCUCAAAAUUUUGGUCUUAUACUGAAGCAUUUGUCAUUGUUUCUAGCAAUGCAAGUUACGUAGGCUCCUAUACCGAAGCAUUCUAGCUUAUUAUUUUCUUUGUUUGAUUGUUUCUUCUGAGUUAUCCAAGUUAUGUAGCAUAUAAUUGCCUCCCAUACUCGACUCCAACAAAGAUACUAAUGGGUAUUGUUGGAAGAUGAUAUGUUACGGUUUUGACUCACUUUGACCCCGUUUAUUUGAUAGUUUUGUAGUUGUUUGAGUCCUUUUCAGG